rnacentral:rRNA from 1 species
ACGAACGCUGGCGGCGUGCUUCACACAUGCAAGUCGAACGGAAAGGCCCUGCUUUUGUGGGGUGCUCGAGUGGCGAACGGGUGAGUAACACGUGAGUAACCUGCCCUUGACUUUGGGAUAACUUCAGGAAACUGGGGCUAAUACCGGAUAGGAGCUCCUGCUGCAUGGUGGGGGUUGGAAAGUUUCGGCGGUUGGGGAUGGACUCGCGGCUUAUCAGCUUGUUGGUGGGGUAGUGGCUUACCAAGGCUUUGACGGGUAGCCGGCCUGAGAGGGUGACCGGCCACAUUGGGACUGAGAUACGGCCAAGACUCCUACGGGAGGCAGCAGUGGGGGAUAUUGCACAAUGGGCGGAAGCCUGAUGCAGCAACGCCGCGUGCGGGAUGACGGCCUUCGGGUUGUAAACCGCUUUCGCCUGUGACGAAGCGUGAGUGACGGUAAUGGGUAAAGAAGCACCGGCUAACUACG